AUCAGGUGGGACUACCCGCUGAACUUAAGCAUAUCA
rnacentral:rRNA from 1 species